rnacentral:rRNA from 1 species
CGGGGGAUACUGCCAGACUUGGAACCGGGAGAGGUAAGAGGUACUACAGGGGUAGGAGUGAAAUCUUGUAAUCCCCUGUGGGACCACCUGUGGCGAAGGCGUCUUACCAGAACGGGUUCGACGGUGAGGGACGAAAGCUGGGGGCACGAACCGGAUUAGAUACCCGGGUAGUCCCAGCCGUAAACGAUGCUCGCUAGGUGUCAGGCAUGGCGCGACCGUGUCUGGUGCCGCAGGGAAGCCGUGAAGCGAGCCACCUGGGAAGUACGGCCGCAAGGCUGAAACUUAAAGGAAUUGGCAGGGGAGCACAACAACGGGUGGAAGCCUGCGGUUUAAUUGGACUCAACGCCGGACAACUCACCGGGGGCGACAGCAAUAUGUAGGCCAAGCUGAAGACUUUGCCUGAAUCGCUGAGUGGAGGUGCAUGG